AUAAAAGGUACAAAAUUCUUAUGUAAGACGCGUCUUGGAUAAGACGCGUCUUACAUAAGAACAGGUCGUUUAGCUGUUCUUAUUUAAGUCGCGUCUUAAAUAAGAAAUUUUAGACAAAAAGUCUAACUACACACGCCAGAAACUUGAAACAACGUAAAAUUUAAUGCCUUGCAUAUUAAAACAAAAACAACCAAAACAACAUAGCUAUAUAGCAAAUAAAUAAGAC